rnacentral:tRNA from 1 species
GGGCGAUUAGCUCAGCUGGUAGAGCAUCGGUUUUACACACCGAGUGUCGGCGGUUCGAGCCCGUCAUCGCCCACCA